AACACCUCAAAAGAUUUUCUUUAUUGAAAUGAUUUUGGACUUGAGCAAUCCCAACACCAGUCUUCACGGAUCGGCGGAGGGUUGCUUGAAAUGCAGGUGCAGCUGGACAUUCUCCUGAGCUAAAAGCAUAUCUAUUUAGUCCCGUCAAACGGAUUAUUACUUUUGCUGCAGCUAACAUAAAGGGAGUUUGACCAUUUUGGCUGACUGAUGCAGGAUUUCACAAGGGUCGGUAAAACGAUUUUUGUAAA
rnacentral:misc_RNA from 1 species